CUAUGGUUUAUUGGAUCGUACCCGUUAAAUGGAUAACUGUAAUAACUCUAGAGCUAAUACAUGCCUUGAUGCCCUGACCCUGAGUGCUGCGCCCACCGGAAGGUGGGUGGGUAUGCGGGGGAUGGGUGCACUUAUUAGAUCAGAAGCCAACCAACUGUGUGUGCGUGGCUGUACGGCUGCGACGCGCGUUGAAGCACUUCUGGUGACUCUGGAUAAUUGUUACAGAUCGCAGUCGGCCCUGAGUCGGCGACGGGUCCUUCAAAUGUCUGCCCUAUCAACUUUCGAUGGUAGGUGACCUGCCUACCAUGGUGAUAACGGGUAACGGGGAAUCAGGGUUCGAUUCCGGAGAGGGAGCCUGAGAAACGGCUACCACUUCCAAGGGAGGCAGCAGGCGCGCAAAUUACCCACUCCCAGCACGGGGAGGUGGUGACGAAAAAUACCGAUGCGGGACUCCUUAAAGAGGCUCCGUAAUCGGAAUGAGUGGACUCUAAAUCCUUUCACGAGGAUCGAUUGGAGGGCAAGUCUGGUGCCAGCAGCCGCGGUAACUCCAGCUCCAAUAGCGUAUAUUAAAGUUGCUGCAGUUAAAAAGCUCGUAGUUGGAUCUCGGUGGCAUUGUUGCCUGUUGGUAUUUGAGCGGCUGGUGUGUGGCUGUCGACGCGCGGUCGUGGCGUCCGUCCGGUCGGUUGUUGGGGGGGUCGGCAAGCGGGUCGAUCGGUCGGUCGGUGUAUCCGUCUGCGUGCGUGCGUGCGUGUGGAGGUGCUGGUGCUCUCGCUGGCAUGCCGAUGCGCGCACGGGCGUGGGCGUUGGUUCAUUGGUCGGUCUGGCUCGCUGUCGGCUCUCCGGCGGCGUCUGUGGCGUUCGUUGGGGCUGCGUUGUCGUGGUCAUUGAUUAGCGCCGUCGUGUCAAGCCGGCUAGGCGGUGGUGUCACCUUUAAGCCAUGUCUGUGGUGUAACAGCCGCAGGUGUAGGCGGGUGUUGGGCAGUGCUCUGCACACGCUGCGGGGUCUGCCGGCCUGCCUGCAUGCCUUUGGAUGCCCUUCAAAAGGUGUCUGUAGGCGGAUGGCACGUUUACUUUGAACAAAUUUGAGUGCUCAAGUCAGGCCGAUGUUGCCUGAAAAGUCUUGCAUGGAAUAAUGGAAUAGGACUUCGGUUCUAUUUCGUUGGUUUUCGGAUCCGAAGUAAUGAUCAAAAGAGACAGGCGGGGACGUUUGUAUGGCUGCGCUAGAGGUGAAAUUCAUGGACCGUAGCCAGACAAACUAAAGCGAAAGCAUUCGUCAAGCAUGUUUUCAUUGGCCAUGAGCGAAAGUCAGAGGCUCGAAGACGAUCAGAUACCGUCCUAGUUCUGACCAUAAACGAUGCCAACUGACGAUCCGUGGUGGUAGUGCUUCAACCUUCCCCACGGGCAGUCCCCGGGAAACCUUUAAGUCUUUGGGUUCCGGGGGAAGUAUGGUUGCAAAGCUGAAACUUAAAGGAAUUGACGGAAGGGCACCACCAGGAGUGGAGCCUGCGGCUUAAUUUGACUCAACACGGGAAAACUCACCCGGGCCGGACACUAUGAGGAUUGACAGAUUGAUAGCUCUUUCUUGAUUUGGUGGUUGGUGGUGCAUGGCCGUUCUUAGUUGGUGGAGCGAUUUGUCUGGUUAAUUCCGAUAACGAACGAGACUCCAGCCUGCUAAUUAGUGCGUUUGUCCACUGCGCCUGUGCAGGCGGCGUCGGGCGAGGCUGCUACCGGGGGCGCACGCACGGUCUCCCGCGCUGCACUCUUACGGUCUGGCCGAGUGGGUCUCGGCUUGCUGGUCGGCUGUGGAGUUGGCUGCGGGACCGGUGCUGUCUUUGGCUGGCUGGUCGAUAUGCCUGGCGUUGGCCUCCGGGUGCGGCGCGAAUGCUUACUUCUUAGAGGGACAAGCGGGAGAAGCCGCACGAAAUAGAGCAAUAACAGGUCUGUGAUGCCCUUAGAUGUCCGGGGCCGCACGCGCGCUACAAUGACGGUGUCAACGAGUUAGACCUUCUGGCCCGAAAGGGUUGGGCAAACUGGUCAAUCACCGUCAUGACAGGGAUCGGGGCUUGGAAUUGUUCCCCGUGAACGAGGAAUUCCUAGUAAGUGCAAGUCAUAAGCUUGCGCUGAUUACGUCCCUGCCCUUUGUACACACCGCCCGUCGCUACUACCGAUUGAAUGGUUUAGUAAGGUCCUUGGAUUGGCACCAUUGUGGCAGUCUCCGAGAGGUGGCUGCCCGACAGGCGCUGAGAAGACGACCGAACUUGAUCAUUUAGA
rnacentral:rRNA from 1 species